CACAGAUCUCCGCGGCGUGUGAUUGGCUGCUGCGGCUGUCAGUCAUAAAGUGAACAGUUAUGCCGAGGGUUCUGACAAGUUCGACUGAGAAAUCAGAGAUAAAAGUGGCGACAGCGGUCCUCAGGUUUACGAGUGCUGUUGAAUCAGAGAGGGGAUCGGAAGCUGCUCUGAGAGGGAGACCUUCAACACGGAGGAUUUGUACAGGACGAGGCAGAGAGAGGAUGUAAACCUGUCUGUCUUCAGCUUUCCAUCACAUCUUCUAAUGGUCUCUCUGAGAUGGAGGACAUCCAUCCAUCAGACCGGAGUCGGCUGGCAGCAGCGCCUUUCUCCCCACUUUUAUGAGCUCCGAUCUGGUUGAAUGCAUCAGUGAGCGGACGCAUGCUGUGAAGGAAGAUUAGAAAAAACUGAACAUUUUCCCUCCAAACAUUUUUAGAAUUCACUGGAUGAGGAGCAACAAAGAGGUUGAAGUUCAGCUCGUGUUUUUCAUUAGACCAAAACCCAAUAAAGCUCUGAGGGGAAGCCUGUUCAAUCAGCUGAACAGAUCUUUUGUCCAUAACCUCAAAGGUAAUCGCAUUACUCCCUGCAGGGGUUCUUCUUCUGUUAAGGGGCUACUGCCUCCCUGGUUUGGAUUCAGAGCCCUUUUUUUAUGCCAGAUUUGGCCUCACAGCCUUUUUUAACAUCAAUGGAUGAAAUAAGUAUAUGAUCCAUUCUUGAUUUAGUAAAAAGACAUGGACAGUCUGUCAUCCUGAUGGUAGAUUCAUCUGAACAGUGAGAGAUAGAAAAUCACCCCCCAGAAAUCCACUUUAUAGAAUAAAAAAUGUAA